UUCCAUCCACCCAUCGUCGCCGCUACCACUUCACCAACUCCCACCUCGGGAUCCCCAUCGAUCCAACCAGUGACGUCCUCCCAAUCCAAUCUCCCCGACCGCCUCCCUAGAUGUCAGCGCCACCCAAUCAACGUCUCGUUCCCUCCUUCCUUUCAUCCACCACCAAAUCCAUCCCCGUAGCCAUCCUCUGCUCCCUCCGCAGCCAGCGCAGCCUCCUCGUCCCGUGCAGCUCGGGGACUCCAAGCCCCUCGAUCCAGCCGUCCGGGAGGAAGUCAGCACUCGCCGCCACAUCGUGCUACCUUUCGCGGACCUGUAGCCUUCAUCGGCGACCCUGCAUCGACCGCCCCUCUCCUCCUCGAGCUCCUCUUCGGCGACCCUCGUCGACUGCGAGCUCCAGCAGGACCCCGUGGCCUCCUCUCCCCUCUCCGCGAGCCGGCCGACAGCAACGCCACCAGCAGGAGCGCCACGCCCCGCCUUCCUCCGCCUCGCCUGUCCUCUGUACAGGAUCCGGCACCAACGCCCCACCCCACGACCACCUCGAGCACCCAUGCCUGCCGCCGACGAAGUUCACGGCCAGCGCCGGGUUCCGCUCCUGCCUCGACUCCUCGUGCAUGGAUCCAUACGCCCUCGCUCCGUUCCCGCGGGAUCUGGCGUGAUCCGGCCAGAAGGAGCUCCGCCGCGGCGACCUCCUGCUUCCUGUCGCCAUGGCGCCGCUGUCGUUUUUCUUCUGCAGCGAGAUGCAGCAGCGCUGCAGCGAGCGCACGCCCGCUCCGCGUGCAGGCCUCCUCUUGCCCACCAAGGCCAGCGCCGCCCCAGCCUCAUCCGGCCCAGCGCUCGGCCUCGUGGCCCAGCUCUGCAGCGCCACCCUGGCCCAGCGCCGGAUUCGGCCUCAGGGCCAAUUGAGCAGCCCGAGCUCCCCUGCACUGUUGGGCCGCCUAAGAUUCGGCCCGGAACAUGUUUUUUUCACAGAGCAAUUUUCCUAUUUAUCGAGGAGAUUGCCAGUUUACAGUUUAGUCCCUAGUCUUCAUGCAUAUUAUAACUCAUGAUCUAUGCAUCAUAUGUAAAAACUCCAAAUAUGAAAAAUGCUUAGAAUUUUGUCUA